rnacentral:lncRNA from 1 species
UUUUUUUUUUGGUUCCAUAUGAAUUUUGAAAUAGUUUGCUCUAGUUCUGUGAGGAAUGCCAUUGGUAAUUUAAUAGGGAUAACUUGCAUCUGUAAAUUACUUUGGGCAGUAUAGCCAUUUUAAUGAUGUUAAUUCUUCCUAUCCAUGAGCAUGAAAUGUUUUUCCAUUUGUUUGUGUCUUCUCUGAUUUCUUUGAGCAGUGUUUUGUAAUUCUCCUAGAGAUCUCUUAGAGAUCUUUCACCUCCCUGGUUAGCUGUAUUCCUAGGUAUUUUAUUUUUUCUGUGUGUAGCAAUUAUGAAUGGGAUUAUGUUCUUCAUUUGACUCUCUGCUUUACUGCUAGGAAUUUUUGCACAUUGAUUUUGUAUGCUAAGACUUUGCUAAAGUUUAUCAGCAGAAGGAGCUUUGGGGCUAAGACUAUGGGGUUUUCUAGAUAUAGAAUCAUGUCAUCUGUAAACAGAGACAGUUUGACUUCCUGUCUAUUCCUCUCUUCCCUCCUCUAUUUGGAUGCCCUUCCAGUUUUGCACAUUCAGUGUAAUGUUGGCUGUGGGUUUGCCAUGGCUAGCUCUCAUCAUUUUGGCACUUCCGACUAGAAGUGCGAGAGGGGCCAGUGUUGUUGUUACCUGAAAGGUAAGUGCAGCCCACAAAAAUGCAGUGAAGAAGAAGAUAUAUGCAUAUGUUUAAGUUAAUACAAUUGAGAUACAUUUAGCAGACAGAAUCAAUAGAGUUGAUGAGUGACUGACUGGAUGUGUGGGGAGUUUAUAUCACUCCCAGGUUUUUGACUUGGGCAACCGGGCACUCAAGAAGGAAAAAGAGGAUCCAGGGAGAGGAACUUUUCUGAGGACUGGGGUAGGGCUGAACAGCUGCAUUCGAGACUGGUGGAGGGUGGGCUGGGCAUGGGAUGCACAAAUGGAAAUUCCACUGGGUCUGCAGCUCACACAUAGGCAUGACCAGCAUAGAGAUAGAGAGGCCCCAGUGCUGCUGAGUAACUGUGAUUCCCCAGGUGAUGGCAUCAGCUGAGAAGGGAAGGAAGCCCAUGUGAGGACACUGAAGAAGGAGUGAGCAGACAAUAAGAAGCCCACAGAAGACAGAGAAGGAACAACUAGAGGGAGAAGCCAAGGCAGUUUCUCCACAGACACUACCCAAAGCAGUCCUUCACUACAGUGGCAGACAGACCUGAAAAUUUUCAUCUGAAGCAGCAGAGUGAACUGCAGAGUCAGAGAUAGAAUCUCACUAUGUUGACCAGGCUGGUCUUGAACUCUUGGCACCCAAGCGAUCCUUUUGCCUGGAAUCCCAAAGUGUCAGAUUUACUGAAGAAUAUUUCAUUGUAAUUACUUUUUAUACUUUAUAGGUCAAGAGCUCUGUUUUAAAGACAAAAUUUAUUGAAUAUACUUUUUCAAACAAAGUUUCAUGUUCUAAUCAUUGUCUGAUUUCAGCAUUAAAUGAAACACAGUAAAGAAAGUUGGGC